AAGGCCAACGCAUGGAGUUUACGAAUCGGGCAUCAGCCAUUUGAACCCGCUCGCGUCAAGGGGCUCUGCAUCCCUGCCCAUGAGGCCGCCUCAGCUGGACUUGUUCCCCAGGUUUGAUUUGUAACGAGUCAACGAAAUCACCGUAUCUGAGUUCGGUUGUGUGUCACGGGAUCUCCGGUCGGGUUGCGCCAUGGUCCAAUAGAUUGGGCCCAAUCUCCUUCCAUCACGGGUAUAUAUAUUCUGGACCAGACCUUUCUUUGUCAUCGGUUUGUUCAUAGCCAUGUGGCCAUCGCCGUCGCGGGGGCAGGAUAGGGGAGAGUGGGAUUAUGCCGCCAGACUUAAUCUCCAUGGGCGGGCGCCGGUUCGGCCUCGGCGACCGAUCCAGAGGGAAGAGGAGGGCGUAGGGUAGACGUACGGUGGAAGCUUUGGACUCGGGAUCAUGCGAACCAAUGUGAAUUCGGCGCCGACAAGAAAGUACCGCCAGGGUUCCACCUCACAUCGUGGUCGGCAUCGAUAUCGCUUCUAUAACCGGUAAGGUAGCCCUCAUCUAGUUCACCUUGGAAACGUCUGCGUAUAGCAUACCUCAGAUCGGAGCUUGGGUCUGGGAAUCGAUGAGUGGCAUAGUUCAACCAUGGCGCCGCCACGGUUGGAGUUCCUCCGCCGUUGUCCGUGUCUAGAGGAUGAAGGAAGCCUCCUGGCCAUCCGAUCGUCUGUGGACGGCUUGGAUUACACGAACGCUUACCCCUUCGCGACAUAAAAUCCAAACCGUUAUAUAUCAAUCCGGUGGCCUCUGUUUGGUGGUAGUACCUUCUAAUCAUGACCGUCGCUUUGAGAUCUAGCCACCAAGAUAAAAGCAAACCCCUUCACUCGAAUCCUUUACAUAAGAACCCAUGUAGUUAUGCAGAAAUAACCCGUCGUCCAUUACAAGGUUAAAACCAUUACCGUAUGGUCCCGGAAUUUUGCGCAGAGCCCCUGGGCUUUGUUAAAAUAGUCUCCAUAGUCUAGAGCAGUGUUUACAAGUCGUCCGACUAAUCGCGAUUAAUAGCGAUUAGUCGGGCUGGUCGCCUGGAAGUGGGCGAUUAGGUGGAUGACACGAUUAGGAUUUCAAGUCGUCAUAGUCGUCCGACUAAUCGUUGACCUAGGCAAUUAGUCGUCCAGUCGAACGCUUGCUGGUCGUCUUUGUCCUCGCAAUUUUGGUACUGGCUUCACUCUAGUUUUUGGCCCAUCUACUGUAGCCCGCCCCUCCAACACUAAAUCAGGCGCCAGAAACCCUCCCAGCCACCACAAACCCGCCAGAAAUCCUCCUAGCCGCCAGAAACCCUCCCAGCCGCCAGUAAACCCUAAUUAUCUCCUUUGUCCUCUCUGGUUUCUGCCGACGUCUCUACUCCAAGUGCUCCAGCUGUAACGCCCUGAAUUUGGGGAUAUAAUUUUUUCUUCUUUAAUACUCACCAAAUUCAGGCGUUACUCUCUUUUCUCUUCCCGUUUCACUCCUUCCCAGUUUCAAAGCAGUAUAGCGACUGGUGUCCGUAUUGCGUGUAAACAAAAACCUAAGUUGUCAUGGGUGUUGCAUCAUGCCGAAGCAUAUUUCUUUUGUCUGAUGUUGUGUUUAAUCGCGUGUUCGCCUUGUCUCGUUUCGGAUUUCGAUUCGCGAUUGGAUUCCGAUCAGUGGUUGUGCGUGUCGUGGGAUUUUGACCCACGACGCGACCCAGCCUGACCUAGCCUGGCCUGACCCUGGCCGCGUGCCCCUGCCUCUCCCCAUGCAUGCCAGCCUCUCUAUCCCUUUCUCUCAUUCAAUUUUCCCGCACAGCAACUCCCUAUCUUCCACUUCUCUCUCUUCCUCAUUGUGCCCUUGGUGAUUUGGUGACGGUUAUCACCGGAUUUGGUUCCCCGAGGUGAGCUCUCCCUCCCUCCCUCUCUCUCUCCCUAUCCUCUUCCCUCCCUAUGUGCCCCCUUUCUUCCUCGCGCGCGUGCCCCGGCGGCUCGCCCUCCCCCGUGGUUGCGCCCCCUCGGCGGCUCGCCCUCCCCGGCGGUCGUGCCCUUCCCCCGCGGCUGUGCCCUCCCCGGCGGCCAUGCCCUCCCCCGGCGGGCUCGCCCCCCCCCUCGCGGUCGUGCCCUCCCCGGCAGCGCCCCCGCACCCUUCCCCGCGCCCUUCCCCGGCAGCCCCUGCGCGUGCCCCCGGCGUGGCUCUCGUACCCCGACGGCCCUCGUGUGCCCCCGGCACGCGCAGUGCGUUCCCGCGCGUGACCAUCGCGUGCGCGACGAUUAAAUUUUGGUUUAAUUAAUUUUAAAUUUGGUUUAGUUGACGUGCUGCGUCGCGCGUUUCGUCACGUGACAGUUUAUUUUAAAUUCACAUUUAUUAAUGAGCUGCGUCGCGCGCUUCGUCGCGCGACGAUUCAUCUUAAUUCAGUUUAUUCAAAUGUGUGGCAUCGCGCGUCCAGUCGCGCGACGUUUCGUUUUAAAUUCAAUUUAGAUGACGUGUGCCGUCGUGCGCUUCGUCACGCGACGCCUGACGUUAUUUUCAUAAUAAUUCAAGUACCUCAUGGCACGCUCCGUCGCGCGACGAGUCAUUUCAUUCUCAAUUCAGUCUAGGUGUUGUGUCGCGCGUUUCACCGCACGACAAUCCUUUUAAAUUUUCUUUGGUCUGUUUAUAAUGAAUUAAACACGGAACAUGACUUUAUCCUAUGGAUAGCGUGAUGGCCAAAUUAAUGCUAUUCUGUUUAGAUGAGUACUCUGAUUUAUAAUCGUGUAACGUGAUCGCUCUUUGACCGUAGCCUCGACCGUUACUCUCUCUUUCUCGCUUAGUCGUAGGUGUGAGCCCUGUACAAAGCGUCUGUUUAUUUAUAAUAUUUUAUUGCAUGGUGUAAUGUUCUUUUGUAUUAGAUUUGUGGAAUGUAUGUUUGAACUCGUAUAGAUAACAGUCAGUUGGUAACUUGGUGGAGUCCGAAGGAGUUGCAGGUGAAGACCCUGAGCAUCAGCUGGUUGGUGAAGGCAAGUGUCCCUUGAACCAUCUAUGUCCUACUCAUUUUAUAAUUCACUCCCUACAUUUACACAGUUUAUACCUAAGGAUUGACUAGCUUUUGUUUAUCUUGUUCUUGUUUACCUAUUUUGGUUGGGUUAUUUUGGUUUAGCUUUAUGCUAGUGCUUCACAUUAAUCAAUGAACAUGAUGAGAUUAUCUAUGAUAUGUUGUUU
rnacentral:lncRNA from 1 species